GACAGAGGUGCCAAGCGUUAGGCGGAAUCACUGGGCUUAAAGCGUGUGUAGGCGGAAUGGUAAGUACCUUGUGAAAUCCCACGGCUCAACCGUGGAACUGCUGGGUAUACUGCCCUUCUUGAGCCACUUAGGGGCUGUCGGAACAAACGGUGGAGCGGUGAAAUGCGUAGAUAUCGCUUGGAACGCCAACGGUGAAAACAGGUUGCUGGGGGUGUGCUGACGCUGAGACACGAAAGCCAGGGGAGCGAACGGG
rnacentral:rRNA from 1 species